CUUCUACUCCCUCCGUUCCGAAUUACUUGUCGCGGGUAUGGAUGUAUCUAGAUGUAUUUUAGUUCUAGAUAUAUCCAUUUCUGCGACGAGUAAUUUGGAACGGAAGGAGUAAAAG
rfam:Triticum urartu cultivar G1812 contig1140929, whole genome shotgun sequence.